rnacentral:rRNA from 1 species
CACGUAGGCGGACAUUUAAGUCAGGGGUGAAAUCCCAGAGCUCAACUCUGGAACUGCCUUUGAUACUGGGUGUCUUGAGUAUGGAAGAGGUGAGUGGAAUUCCGAGUGUAGAGGUGAAAUUCGUAGAUAUUCGGAGGAACACCAGUGGCGAAGGCGGCUCACUGGUCCAUUACUGACGCUGAGGUGCGAAAGCGUGGGAGCAAACA